UGGGACACUUAAGAAACCACAUAGGGUGAUAACCUUCCUUUAAUUCUUCUCAUAUAAUUCCAUAACCCACCAGUUAUGUUAUUACACGAUAUGGUGCCACGACCCAUGGACUUGUCCUUUAAGAGAUCAUGUUUAAAGUCCCAACAGACCCCUUUUGACAACUCCACAGAGACAGACACAGACUCACUUGACUAACUUUUCAUGUUCUGACACUAAACCAACAUACAUCUUAUAUCAUUCAUUCCAGAUUUGUUCAUAUAAUCGUAUUUUUGAUUCAGGAUUCUUAUCACUUGUUUAAGUCGUCAGAUCUCAUACAAACCAUGCACAUAAGACUCACCAAAUGUUCAUACUAUGCUCUUCAUAAUGUCGGUCACACCUAUCAUACAAUUUCUAUAGAAAUAUCUAGCAUAAACAACACACAUACAUGAAUUGGUUUAGAGACUCACCUGACAACUAUGAUCAGCAAUUCAGGUUCCAGAUCAAACAAGAAACUACAACUGUCACUACUUGGAAGACAAGUAAUACCAUUAAAACUCAGUCAAGUUAUCCUUAUCAUCUUUUGAGAUCCAAUGAUUUCCUGAUACAAAGUAUUACUUAAUCAUCACAUUUUUUAUACUCAUAACAGACUUAUCCUUCAAAAAUUAUUAGAAUGGAAGAGAGAAAGGGAAAAUCCUCCAUUCCACUCUAAAUCAAGAUAUUUUAUAGAACCUUUAUUCUCUCAGUAGGACCACACACACGUGUCAAAAUCCCCCUUUUUAUUUAUCCUAUAAAUGAUUCACCCUAUAUUCUCUCAGUAAGACCAUACACAUGUGUCAAAGUCUUUUUUUAACUAUCCUAUAAUUUAUAACUGUAGGGAAAACGUACAGAAAGACCCAUCCUUUAAUUAAUUAAUUAAUUUAUUUAUUUAUUUCACCCAUUUCGUUGGAAAUUAACUAGCACAAUAUCUAGGUAAACUUGAUUUACUAUCCCGUGACGGUAACCAUUAUCCAAGGUCCUUUGAUAUUUUUUCCAAAACCACUUAUUCUUUCAUAUCUUUUUAUCCAUAUAACAACUUUUGUCUGAUACUCUACUUUUAAUUAUACACCCAAGAUAUACGGAAAAAGCAUCAAUCGGGCGAGCAGGACUGCGCCAGACAAGUUUCUUGAGGCUACUCGCCAAAUUCAAGACUCACCAAGGUUGGGUUUUACAUUCUCUGUAGCUCUUGAGCAACUUUUAUGUGAGAAAGGAAGCUUUGCUUGCUUUCCAAAUUGACAUGCAUCUCAUCAGCUUUUUCACAGAUAAUUGGAGGAUUUUUCACAAGUUUAUUUGUAUGUAUAUAUCUCAAGGUUGAAUUAUUUAUAAUUCCCAAUUCCUUUAUGCCAUAAGAUAUAAUCAUCCACUACACUAGCAUAAGCAUUCAAAUAAAAUUGUUUCCAUUCUUUUGGAAAAAUUUUGUUCUUUAUUUUGACUAUCAUCAAUUGAAAACCAAUAGGGUAAAAAAUGAAACAUGAUAUAUCAUAAAAGUGAAAAUAAAAGUUUUUUUUUUCUAAAAUUUGUCCUACAUUCAACAAGCUUUGCCUUACAUCAGGUACAAAUAAAACAUAAAAAAUAAACCUUGUACCCAAAGAAGUUUCGACUUCAAUCAUUCAUUUUCCUUUGACAUCUACAAGCUCUCCAUUUCCAAUCUUCACUUUGGAGAAAUAAGACUUGUCCAACUCCUUAAAAAGACUUGCAUCAUGAGUCAUAUUAUUGGUGUAUCCAAUAUCCACUAGCCAUGUUUCUGUUCCACUAUUUGUAGCACAACAAGUAGCAAUGAAGAGAAUUUCUUCUUCUUGUUCGAGCUUUUUAGCAACUUGAGCGUGGCCUUUUUUAUUUGCUUUGUUUUUGCAAACCUGCUCCAUAUGUCUUAGUUUAUUACAAGCUCUACACUUAGGGCACAAGAUCUAAUAAUCUCCUAUUUUUCAUAGUGAAGUAGAUAAGUCAGGUUUCAUAUUCCCAUACCAUUCAUAUGUUUCCCCAAAACUCUUUAGCUAGCAUAGUAUUGGUAAACAAAUCUAUAGGGUUUGUUCUCAGAUGUGAUCUUUGACUACAUCCAUUAUUCCGUCAAUCACUUCCAUCUCCCUUAUGGUACUUUAUGUUUUUGUCCUCAUAUGAUUUCUUUGGUGCUUAGCUAUAUCCAAAUUGUUAUAAUGUCAUAGCUUUUCCCAAGCCUUAUAUUCGACCCUCCAUAGUGAAGUUAGCAAUGCAACCCUGCUUGACACCUAUUCACACUAUGGACUCGUCGCAUAGGACAAAUAUAAAUCUUGAUUUCAAUUUUCUUGAAUCUCGACUUGUUCAAAAGUUAGAAUCAAUAUAUUUGAUAGAAGUAAGUGUUAGAGUAUGCCCAAAGAUCAAUCAUAAGAUGGUUGUAAUAACAUACUUGAUUUAUCAUGUUUAUUAGUAUAAGGCGUUACCAUUAUUAUUUCAUCUUUUCUGUGUGUAUAAAUAAACUGUUUUAUAAUAAUGUCCUAAGAAUAAUAUGAAUAUUCUUAAAAGGUACUUAGUCAAGUAUUAAUGUUGGAUAGGACGACAAUAAUGCAUUAAGACUAACAUGUAGUUGAUUGAUGAUAAAGAGUUGUCAUUGAUAUGGAAUGUCAAAAUUGAUGCAUGAAUAUGUGUGUUAGAGAACAACAUAUUGGACUGACCCGUUAUGAGUAUGUUUCUUAGAUUAUCAUGUAAUUGUCACAACAUUACUCAUAGUGAUUAAUAUGUAUAUGAUCCUCAGACCUGAGAUCAUCAUAAUCCCAACAUCGUGAGUUGUAUAUUUUGGUACAGUCAAAUGUACAUUGUAACUGGUUGUUCUAUAAAGGCUGAUGUUGGAUAUACCAUGAUCUAUGUAGAGGGAUAUGGUUGAUCGAGAUAGGAUAAGCUCCUCCUACAUAAUAGGAGUAAUAUCUUAGGCCACUUGAUUGUGUGAUACUAGAAAUGCAUGGCCAUGCUCAAAUAAGUUGAUAUGAGAUGUCAUACUUAUUUGUAUAUGGUAGUCUGCUUAAGAUAUCAAGGGACACGGAAUGGACUAUGCAAGUGUGACUAUUCCAUGACUUGUGUCCAAUCCAGAGAUAAAGGACUUAAGGAUUAUAGCAUAAAAGGUUAAUCAUAAAAAGGUUAUGUCGAAUCAUGAUUUCUUGUGACUUAGGUAGCAAUGAUGCAUUGUUAGAUGCCACUCAUUGUUUGUAACAUUGGAAUCGUUCUAGUAUUACUGCUAACGUUACAAAAACCUACAGGGUCACACCCUAUAGUUGAAAUGAACGGAAUAAAACAUAGUUGGUAUUGUGUUUGGUUGUCGCAUGAAUUAAAUUAAUUAUAGAAUUAAUUUAAUUGGGUAAUCAAAUAUCGAACACAUUAUGUACAAGGUUGUUGUACGCAUGAUGAGAACAUAAAUUUGGUUAGUAUAUAAAUUCAAAUAAAUAUAUGGUUUACCAAAAUUAUAUUAUAAUUAAUGUAACUAUAAUUUUUGGUUUAAAAUAUUAUUAUAUUUAUUUAAUUUUUAGAAACCCUAUAAAAAAGAUAUAUAAGAAUCCCGUUUUUUCUUUGCUUGGGGUCUAGCACCCGUCAAAGAAAAUUCUUUUCAAAACUGUUUUAACGGAUUCCUUCCGUUCAUAAUCAACUGAGUGGAUUACGUAGAGGCCGAGGUCACGAUAGAUUGCGGCUUGGUUCGAUAGUAAAUUAGACUACUCGUUGCUGAGGCGUUGCUGUCUACUCAGAAUAAACAUUCGGUAAUUUCGUAACCUUUAUCACCCCGAUUCGUUCCUCACACAUGGAUCCGUGGUUAGGAUCAUCAAAUUUUUAAUUUUUCCCGCUGCUCCGUAGGGGUGCCGGCGAUCCAACAGUAAGAUCUCUUCUGGAAUACACAGGCAUAUAAUCUCUCAUUCUCCAUAAAUACUUGAGUACAUGAUUAAUUGCUUGCCAGUGUAUUGGACAACGAUUCGCUGAAUAUCAACUCACCAUCGAGAAACAGGUUAUCUUGUCACGAUGUCUCCUGUUUGAGGUCACCAUAUUAGUCUUUUUUUAAUUUUGAAAACAUAGAGUUCAGUCUUUAAGGUGGGAAAUUUGGUUAUUGUCUUCAAAGUUGCGACACUAAACCUGGAAGUCGUGACACCAGCCUGAGAAGUUUCAAAAAUGUUGUAGUUUAGUCCUUAAUCAAUCUCGAGAUGGUGUUGGGAUUUCGUAAACUCGUAUAUGACCCAAAACUUAUUAAAUAUUGUGUUUUAUGCAUGUAACACCUAUAUAUUAAUGAUAAAUGAUGGAAUUUGUAUAUAGUGGAUAAUAGUUGCUUUGACAACGAAUGUUGCAUCCUAUAGGUCUGACCCAACAAUCGGGUUGAGUAUGAGGUGUUACAUACAAUGUGGUCGGCCAACUAUCAUACGAUUACAAUAUAAUUCUUUCUUUUUAGAAAUCUGCUAAGUGAAGUCCACAUGACAAUCCUACUAUGGGGUAGUUAAAUUGUCAUGUCAUCACAAGAGACCAUUGAUGGAGACUGUAGGUCUUGUUUAUGGACAUUUAAGGUUUUUAUGCCCAGUUUCAAUCAUAAAUGACUAAUAAAUGCUUGACAAGUACAUGUGGCAUUCUUUUCUUAAACUAUAUGUCAUGCUUAUCACACAUAUGCAUGAACAUACUUUUGUAGUCAAUUUAAAUAUCAUCACGCUACCAUAUAAAAGCAUAAAAUUAAAUGACUCUGACCAACCAAAGUUUCUAUGAUUUAAUCCAAAAAAAAAAUUACAAUGGUUACCUCAAAACCUACUCUGGGUAUUCUUGUUGAAUGCUAAAUAUCCUAAUUUUUGAGGUUUUUACCCAAACCACAAAUGACUUGAAAAACACCAAUGGGAUCUAUUGUCGAACUACUAUCGCCACCAUGGGCUUCCACUAUCGUUAUAAUUGACGUCAUUGUCGUCGUCAGGUCACUGUUGGAUUGCCACUAGGCCGUCAAUGACCACUAUUGGCCACCACCGUUGAACCACGGACAACCUCCGCCAUUGGACCACUAUCCAUCUUUUGCCAGUUGGCUGGAUUGGGUUUGCAUCUUCUCGAUCAGUCUUGGAUGCAUCUCGAUUCUCCGUGAUUCAUCAGGGAAAAUUGAUUACAUAAUACUUUUGUUCGUUUCUAGCUCACAUGAAUUAUUCUAAAGAUAAACAAAUUAAAUAAUCCCUAUAUGGAGAUGAUAGUUCAUGAUCUAUUUACAUAUAUCAGAAAAAUUAAUAAUAAUUACAACCAAAUUUUUAGGACUCGCAAAUUUGGAAAAAAUUCUUUAUCAUGUAAAUAAUAAAAUAAUAAAAAUACAUUCAUUCACAUACAUAACCCACAACAUGUUAAUAAUUAUAAGAAUGUCACAUCUUAUCAAAGAAUUAACAAAACAUGAAGAAGAGAGAAAAUUUUGGUAUUGAUUCAUACUAUAAACUUAGCAUAACUUUGCUCUGAUACUAAUUUGUUGAAAAAAUUCAAUUCAAAAAUGAUUUUCUUGCACAGCGAAAAAUAAAAAAAUUUAAAAUUGACCCGAUUUGUGAUAUUUAUAACAAUAAACAUUUCCCCAAAAUAAUGCACAGGGGAACCAUAAAUGUUUACUAUCAAAUACUAAUUCAAUCAUUCAUCAUAAAGACAAAUGACCCAUGGCUACGUUUACUUUUAAUCUAUUAUGUAUUGCCAAUGAAAGGAUAUCAUUUACCCAUGUCUUGGGCUAUGAAUUCCACUAUUGUGAAUGAUGCUACAUACUGCAGAUGUCGUAUACCCAACGCACUAGUUUUCAGUUCUUUAACUAUCCGAACUUAUAUUUUUACUUACUUCAAUGUAUAUGAGUCAUACAUACAUAGUCCAUCAUCCACUCAGGAUUAAGGUAUGCUACACUAUGAACGUUACAAGUGAAUAAAUCCAUGAACAAAUUCAAGAUCUAUUCUACUUGGGUCAUUUCCGAUGUACUAUCAGUCUAGUUAGUUAUAUUUAUGUCUCUAUCUUCUGGGAUUCUUCCGCUUCGAUGUUCAAGACAAAGCAUCUCCUCAAUUGGACUUGAUAGACGACGUAUUAGUCUUUCAAUCGAUUUGCUUAUUUCCGAUUAGACUAAAAAAUGAUAGAUAUAUGUGAUCAAAACAAUUUAUACAUUUUUUAGUCAAAUUUACUUUCAUGUAAAUAAUUAUUUUAAUGAACUAGCUAGAGUAAUCCAUGUUUAAGUUUUCAAGAAGGUGAUGGAAAUCUUUUGAAAAAGCAAUUCGAGUGCUUAAACAUUCAAUCCCAGAUGUCUGAUUUCUUAGUUCACGGGACAAUAUUAAAAUCUAUAAUGCCAUUUAUCGAAGCAAUCUAGUUAAAAUUUAUUUUAAAAUUUAUACAUUCAUUUCAUUAUUUUUACUUAAAUAAAGAAAUUAUUGUUUAAUUACAAUUCUAACUAAAUGCGCAUUUCUCGCCAUCAUUCUAUACAGAUCUUAUAUACAUAUCAUACAUGAUCAUAUCACCAUCGAUACGCCUCGUAUCAUUGAGAACAUUGUGGUCUAUGCCAAUUACUUAACAUAGAGUAUGUUGUAGGGCGUUCUUUUGGGUGUAUCAUUGAGAGUCAUUUUGGAACACGCCACAGGAACAACCCAUUCUGAAUAUGUCAUGAUGGCUCUUCCUUGUAGGACCCGUCGUGAAGGCGAUUUCUUAAUAUGUCGGUGCAAAAAUAAUUCCUUGGUACCUUUCCAAGAGGGAUUUUAAUCUUUAGUGUCUGCCCUCCAUAUCAUACUUUUUCUUCUACAUUAAAAACUUCAUGCUCUUCUUUCAUGGUUCACCACAAAGGCAUUCCCUUUAAAUGGUAGUCACAAAGGCUAUUUUUCUUUAAUGUUUGUCAUCAAGGCUUUCUCUUCAAGUUUUGCCAUAAAGGUGGAUCUUAAGAGUACGUCGCUAAGGUAUUUCUUACAAAUCGUUGCCAUGAUCGCAUGUCCUUUCCUGAUGUGUUUACUAUGAUUUUCCUAACUCAUACUAUGAGAGGUUUACCCAUCAUCAUUCUGGGACACUUAAGAAACCACAUAGGGUGAUAACCUUCCUUUAAUUCUUCUCAUAUAAUUCCAUAACCCACCAGUUAUGUUAUUACACGAUAUGGUGCCACGACCCAUGGACUUGUCCUUUAAGAGAUCAUGUUUAAAGUCCCAACAGACCCCUUUUGACAACUCCACAGAGACAGACACAGACUCACUUGACUAACUUUUCAUGUUCUGACACUAAACCAACAUACAUCUUAUAUCAUUCAUUCCAGAUUUGUUCAUAUAAUCGUAUUUUUGAUUCAGGAUUCUUAUCACUUGUUUAAGUCGUCAGAUCUCAUACAAACCAUGCACAUAAGACUCACCAAAUGUUCAUACUAUGCUCUUCAUAAUGUCGGUCACACCUAUCAUACAAUUUCUAUAGAAAUAUCUAGCAUAAACAACACACAUACAUGAAUUGGUUUAGAGACUCACCUGACAACUAUGAUCAGCAAUUCAGGUUCCAGAUCAAACAAGAAACUACAACUGUCACUACUUGGAAGACAAGUAAUACCAUUAAAACUCAGUCAAGUUAUCCUUAUCAUCUUUUGAGAUCCAAUGAUUUCCUGAUACAAAGUAUUACUUAAUCAUCACAUUUUUAUACUCAUAACAGACUUAUCCUUCAAAAAU
rnacentral:lncRNA from 1 species